AAUGAACGCUGGCGGCAUGCCUUACACAUGCAAGUCGAACGGCAGCAUGACCUAGCUUGCUAGGUUGAUGGCGAGUGGCGAACGGGUGAGUAAUGCAUCGGAACGUGCCUUUUAGUGGGGGAUAACGUAGCGAAAGUUACGCUAAUACCGCAUAUUCUCUGAGGAGGAAAGCAGGGGACCUUCGGGCCUUGCGCUAGAAGAGCGGCCGAUGUCGGAUUAGCUAGUUGGUGAGGUAAAGGCUCACCAAGGCAACGAUCCGUAGCGGGUCUGAGAGGAUGAUCCGCCACACUGGGACUGAGACACGGCCCAGACUCCUACGGGAGGCAGCAGUGGGGAACUUUGGACAAUGGGCGCAAGCCUGAUCCAGCCAUGCCGCGUGAGUGAAGAAGGCCUUCGGGUUGUAAAGCUCUUUCGGCUGGGAAGAAAUCGCACCCUCUAAUACAGGGUGUGGAUGACGGUACCAGCAUAAGAAGCACCGGCUAACUACGUG
rnacentral:rRNA from 1 species